GGAGUUAGGAAAUGCGGUUGGCAGAAUUCUCGUGCUGUUUGACAAAGGCUCCAGAGGAAGCCACGGCUUACUUUGUGCCAGCAGCCGCGGUAAUACGAAGGUGGCGAGCGUUGUUCGGAAUUAUUGGGCAUAAAGGGCACGUAGGUGGAGGGGUAAGUCGGAUGUGAAAGCCUUCGGCUCAACCGGGGAAUUGCUUCUGAUACUGCCUGUCUUGAGUGUAGGAGGGGAGAGUGGAAC
rnacentral:rRNA from 1 species